rfam:Gossypium raimondii chromosome 9, whole genome shotgun sequence.
AUGCCGUGAUGAGGGCACUUUCGUAAUAAAUCCUUAAAUCGAUCCUAUGCCUCAUAUAAAGACUCAUCAUCCAUUUGUUGGAAAGCAGUGAUCUCAUUCCUCAACUU